rnacentral:misc_RNA from 1 species
GUAGGUGAACCUGCGGAAGGAUCAUUAGCGAGUUGAUGCCCUAAUGGGUAGAUCUCCCACCCUUGAAUAACAUACCUUUUGUUGCUUUGGCGGUUGCGUCUUCGUGACGCCCGCCAGAGAACCCCAAACUCUGAAUUACAGUGUCGUCUGAGUACUAUAUAAUAGUUAAAACUUUCAACAACGGAUCUCUUGGUUCUG